AUUGAACGCUGGCGGCAUGCCUUACACAUGCAAGUCGAACGGCAGCACGGGUGCUUGCACCUGGUGGCGAGUGGCGAACGGGUGAGUAAUACAUCGGAACAUGUCCUGUAGUGGGGGAUAGCCCGACGAAAGCCGGAUUAAUACCGCAUACGAUCUACGGAUGAAAGCGGGGGACCUUCGGGCCUCGCGCUAUAGGGUUGGCCGAUGGCUGAUUAGCUAGUUGGUGGGGUAAAGGCCUACCAAGGCGACGAUCAGUAGCUGGUCUGAGAGGACGACCAGCCACACUGGGACUGAGGCACGGCCCAGACUCCUACGGGAGGCAGCAGUGGGGAAUUUUGGACAAUGGGCGAAAGCCUGAUCCAGCAAUGCCGCGUGUGUGAAGAAGGCCUUCGGGUUGUAAAGCACUUUUGUCCGGAAAGAAAUCCUUGGCCCUAAUACGGUCGGGGGAUGACGGUACCGGAAGAAUAAGCACCGGCUAACUACGUG
rnacentral:rRNA from 1 species